rnacentral:lncRNA from 1 species
UUCUAUUAAGUCUAUGUACCAUUAUCCCUAUGGCAUAGGAAAUGUGACUGUUCAUUUUACUGUCUUUUUAUUGCCGAAAUUAGUCCAUCACCCAACACAUGAAAAAUCAAAAUUCAAACAAAGUAAAGAACAUAAAGAAAUUUAUGCAAUUGAUUUUCAUCACACAUAUGACAUUUCGUUAUAAUACAGUGUAAUAUGUUGUGCUUCAAUUAUGUAUUCAACUCUGAAUGUUAUAAAAAAAAAUUGAACAAAGAAAUUAAAAGGGAGUUGUCAUCAAAUUUCUAAAACAACU